rnacentral:rRNA from 1 species
AGAGUUUGAUCCUGGCUCAGGAUGAACGCUGGCGGCGUGCCUAACACAUGCAAGUCGAGCGAUUUACUUCGGUAAAGAGCGGCGGACGGGUGAGUAACGCGUGGGUAACCUGCCCUGUACACACGGAUAACAUACCGAAAGGUAUGCUAAUACGAGAUAAUAUGCUUUUAUCGCAUGGUAGAAGUAUCAAAGCUCCGGCGGUACAGGAUGGACCCGCGUCUGAUUAGCUAGUUGGUAAGGUAACGGCUUACCAAGGCGACGAUCAGUAGCCGACCUGAGAGGGUGAUCGGCCACAUUGGAACUGAGACACGGUCCAAACUCCUACGGGAGGCAGCAGUGGGGAAUAUUGCACAAUGGGCGAAAGCCUGAUGCAGCAACGCCGCGUGAGCGAUGAAGGCCUUCGGGUCGUAAAGCUCUGUCCUCAAGGAAGAUAAUGACGGUACUUGAGGAGGAAGCCCCGGCUAACUACGUGCCAGCAGCCGCGGUAAUACGUAGGGGGCUAGCGUUAUCCGGAAUUACUGGGCGUAAAGGGUGCGUAGGUGGUUUCUUAAGUCAGAGGUGAAAGGCUACGGCUCAACCGUAGUAAGCCUUUGAAACUGGGAAACUUGAGUGCAGGAGAGGAGAGUGGAAUUCCUAGUGUAGCGGUGAAAUGCGUAGAUAUUAGGAGGAACACCAGUUGCGAAGGCGGCUCUCUGGACUGUAACUGACACUGAGGCACGAAAGCGUGGGGAGCAAACAGGAUUAGAUACCCUGGUAGUCCACGCCGUAAACGAUGAGUACUAGCUGUCGGAGGUUACCCCCUUCGGUGGCGCAGCUAAC